CGUGCGAACCGUGAGCGUCCGUGGAAACAAAAAAGAGCUCCCAAUUUUCUUAAUUGGCUCCAGGACAGGACGUUUUCGGGAGAAGAUAGCACCUCCACCAUCUGCACAAGAGUCCCCUCCCAUCACCAGCUUCCGCCAAUUGAGUCUUGGGAGCACCAAUCCCUCCAAGCCCAGUGUUGGUGACCUAAGGACUGAGGACAAGGAGUUCAGCUCAGAUCAGGAACUUGCUGAAAGAAGACCCCACCGGUAGCUCAUGCAGACUCAGUGAAACUUUGCAGGCACCAGUGCUGGAAUGUUCCAGUACCUUAGACCAGCAUCAGGGAACCUUCCAGAGGGGAAGUCAAGCAGCUUGCCCACCCAUGAGAAGAGUUUGAAGAGUUUCAAGCAGGAGAAACAAAAUCUGUGAAGGUGACGAGAGUGACCAAACCUGCAGGCCAGACUUCAAGCUCUUUGAAAGAAAAAAACACAUCUCAUCUUUAUGUUCUUCCUGGCACCUCUGAGAGACGUGGAGAGACUCAGGACGACUUGUGGACACUGCAAGUGAAGCUGGUGGGUCGUGGUUCAGGGCCGUCAUGGAUGCAGGUGCGUUUACCUUUGACUGAAGACAGAAGUGCCUUCUCAGGGAUGGCUGUCGGUUGGUCUUGUCCACGUCAUACAGGAGGGAGGUGAUCUCACUGGGAUUACCACCUCCCCACCUGACGCCGCCCCCCAGCCAGGCAGGCCAGCCUGCUUAGCCCCGA